CCGGGUAGAGUAACACGUAUGCAACCUGCCUGCCACAGCCGGAUAAUCGGGAGAAAUUCCGUCUAAUACGGCAUAAUGCAUCGACGGGACAUCCUGUUGGUGCCAAAGGUUAAUUCCGGUGGCGGAUGGGCAUGCGUCGCAUUAGUUAGUUGGCGGUGUAACGGACCACCAAGACGACGAUGCGUAGGGGUUCUGAGAGGAAGGUCCCCCACACUGGUACUGAGACACGGACCAGACUCCUACGGAAGGCAGCAG
rnacentral:rRNA from 1 species